CGGGUGAGUAAUACAUCGGAACGUGUCUUCUAGUGGGGGAUAACUGCCCGAAAGGGCAGCUAAUACCGCAUGAGACCUGAGGGUGAAAGCGGGGGAUCGCAAGACCUCGCGCUGGAAGAGCGGCCGAUGUCCGAUUAGCUAGUUGGUGAGGUAAAGGCUCACCAAGGCGACGAUCGGUAGCUGGCUGAGAGGACGACCAGCCACACUGGGACUGAGACACGGCCCAG
rnacentral:rRNA from 1 species